UUUGUAGGAUGAUCCAGGGAGGCCGGGGCAACCCCCACGUGCAGCUGGAGCUCCUACCGCCGCCCGCCCGUGAUGUUUCCUUGGUUCCAUGCUUGAUACCUGCUACAAGAUCAGUUGCUUUGUCUUUCAACUCCUUCCUGAAUCUUAAAAUUGUGUUUCGUGAGGGUCAAUUUUGUUUAGUGUUACAUGUGACAAAAAUUGAUUCUAUUCUAUUUCGUCAAAACCUGUUUUAUUGCGUUCAUGAUUCUUGAAGAUCUUGUUGGAUAUUUACUGGCUUUCUAAUAUGAUUUCGUCAUCCGUGUAGGAAUGGCUUGUAGAUUGCUGCGGGUGAAAUUUUGGUUAUGGAUGUUGAAACUAGUGAUCAUCUGUCCUUGUGUUUGAUGAUUCUUUGUUAGUUGUAUGAGAAGAUUGUAUUUUGAUCUCACUUGUGCUUUUAAAGAGAUCAAGCUUCGUGCGACGCAAGAAAUUUACCAUCAAGGUAUCUAGAGAAAAAAUAAAAAAUAAAAAUCACACUUAUCCACAAAUUAAAUAUUCGAGUAAUAAGAAGAUACUUAUACGGAGAGAGAUUGAAGUAUGAGACAUAACUAAUGCAUGAGAUGCAAUGUGAAAAGCAUCUCAAAUUGAAAGCAUCUGUUUAUUUUUAAUUCUGGCUUUGUUGAACUGUUCUUUAGAAACACAAUAUUUAUACAACAACGUGUACGUCAGUAUGUGCAAUUCAACACCAACAGGGAAAUUAAUUAAGCAUGGAUUAAUUGUUAUUAAUUGUCGUGCUGAUCCAAAACCAUUUGUUCUAUUUCUAUUCAACCCCCAGGAAUCUUUCAAACCUGCACCAUAAACGUACAAAAAUAUAUAUUAUGUAUAUUCAUCAUAAGGCCAUGUUAGCUUAGCUAAUAUCUCCAAAGACGAAGACAAAAUAUGUAGGCCCUUCGAUUGAUAAGUAAUUAUUAAACUAAAUUUCUCUAUAUAUGCUGGCACCGAGAGUUGAGUUGGUGCAUGCCCUUCAUUGCUUUAAUCUCUCAACACCUUCACAUUGCUAUUUCCUGUUGCCUUCUUUCUUUCUCCGCCCUUCGGUAUGUAUACAAUGAUUUAUUUUUCCUCGAAACAACUUAAAUUAUUUUGAGAUUAUCUUUUUCUGUUUAGGGAUAGGGAAUUCAAUUAAUUAAGUGCAUUUAAUUGCAUGCGCGCAUAAGCUAGCAUAUUAUCGUUUAAUUUGUUUGCCAUACAUAAAUAUGCUUUACUCUUGAGUUUAAUGGGAACUUGCAUACAUACGUAUGUAUACCAACGAAUGAAUAGUACAUGCAUGCAUGGCAUGUUCCUUUUCUCAAAUGUCAAGUAAUUAAAUGCGUAUAAGGGUGAACCAAAAAAAUCUUCGGUUUAUGAGCAAUUUGUUCAUAGAAAAUAGAAGAUUCAGAGAUUAAGGAUUUGAUGCACUUUGAUUACCUAUAUGUACCCGGUUGAUUGCUACUGUUUCCUCUAUUUGUCACCUUCUAACUUUUUUGUCAUUAAAUCAAGUAUCUAAUUUUUAUGUUUUAUCGCUUUCAUAUAUUCUUCAAAACAUCAGAGAAUAGUGGAAUAAAGAAUGUUGGUAGCCUCGACCCGCAAAUUAUUCAGUCUAUUUUGUGAUGGACAGUGUUUAUUAGAAAUUUACAUGUGAGUAGUUUCGCAUCACAUAACUAAUUUAUUAAAGAGUAAAUGAUUGAUAUAUCGUAAUGGAUCUUGACCUAAUAAGUUUUAAGCAUUUAAGGCUAGAUGAGUUACAGUAAAUAUGCCAUAUUCUUUUUCUUUUUCUUUUUCUUUUUUUUUUGAGAGAUAGGUAGCACGCUACCCGCUUCGUUUAUUUCAUUUAGAAAUAAACUUAGCUGUAAAUAUGAAUCAACUUAACUUGGGUUUCGGGUACCAAUCACUAAAUCCUUUGCCACUUGCUCUAGGGACAGUGCCAUAUUCUUGGAUCUAUAUUCUUGGAUCCAUGUGGACUUAGGAUGAAUUGCGACUCUCCUAAUAAGCAGUAUCAGAGGCGAUAGUUUGGCAAUUUUAGAUUACUCGCUUAUAUGGUAUGGUUGAAUCGAGUUACUAGCUCACAUGAACAUGAUGGACUAAUGGAAGGAAGUCAAUUUAUAUAAUGCGAUAUGAUGGCUUAACGCAAUCAAAAUAGUUGGGUCAACAAAUUAAGCAUGUGUUAGGCAUAUAAACUCACGAGAGGGGCGUAGGUUCGAUACAUCGGCUUGGACGAUGAUCAGUGGAUUCGCAUUAGGUUUAGUGCAAUGUUUGAGGAGAUUGUUAAAAAUUUAUACAUAAUCAGUCUCGCCCCAAAUAACUAAUAUAAAACGUAAAUAAUCAAUAUAUACAUACUAAUGAACUGAAAGCUAAUUAUACACCAAAAUUUUUUGGUUUAAUGUGUUCUGCUAAAUUUAUCACAAUCUUAGAUCUACGAGACUUUGAUAAGUAUCGCACAAAGGUGCUGGCAAUUGCAUGGUGGCGACGGCAAUCAAUUGAUCAUCUUAAUUAUGAGCGUAAUGCAUUGUCAUAAAAAUUUAUAAUCAUAUCGACCUACCAAUAAACUAAAAAUCAAACUGUUGCAGUCACAAAAGAUUUAUAAUCUCUAUGCUAGGCAAAUUAUAGGCAGCUAGUUUAAAUUCUUAAGAAAAUGCUAUUCUUACAAACCACUUCUACAAUAAAUUUCUAAUUUAAAAUUUAGUAGUUACGUUUUUAUUCUUUGUCUUACGAACUACAACAAUCACCUCAUGAAUGAUACCAUUUUGCCAAUUAAAAAUGGGUUGGUAAGGAAAUAUAUUAAAAAUUAUAAAAUUUAUCUGUAAGUAUAGCGUUACUUAAAUUCUUAGGAGCUGCAUAUAUGGGCUGAAGAGUGCUACAAUCAUAUUCACAGUUGCAGAGCACGUCGAGUGCAAUUUCGAAGUCCACGAAACCACGGCCCAUAAAAGACAAACAAGGUGGCCCAUUGAUGGGAGAAGAUUAGGUUGAGCUUAUGGGUCGGGCUUCUCCCACACAACCCAAAUUAAUGGGCCUAAUAUAUGUUUCUACUGGGUUGGAUCGACCACGUACAUCCGAACCCGAAAUUUAUUUAUAUAAUAAGCCCAGGCGUACGUGCUCUCGUUUUCACCAUGCAUGCAAUUAGCUUAAAGAGAAAUAAUAAUGCAUGCCCUAGCUAGCUAGGGGUUGCGUUGAUCAAGUAGAUCAACCUACCUGUGGAAGGUGCCUGAGGGGCCGGUGAGGGAUUCUCUCUCCCUCUCUCUCUCUCUCUUCCCCUCCCUAAAGGGUGAUAGAGACUCUCUCUCUCUCUCUCUCUCUCUCUCUCUCUCUCUCUCUCUGUGAGACACACACACGCUCUUCUCUAUAGAGAGAGAGAGAGAGAUCUCACAACACCCGCUUCUCUCUCUCUCUCAUACGCAAACACUUCUCUAGAGAGAGAGAGAGAGAGAGAGAGAGAGAGAGAGAGAGGUCACACAUGACACACCCACCCACCCACCUCUCUCUCUACCUCACACACACAUCUCUCUAUUGAGAGGAGAGAGAUCUCAAACAUACCCGCCUCUCUCUCUCUCUCUCUCUCUCUCUCUCUCUCUCUCUCUCAUAGGCACACACUUCUUUAGAGAGAGAGAGAGAGGGUCACACACACCCCCACCCACCUCUCUCUCUACCUGACACACACUUCUCUCUAUGGAGAAGAGAGAGAACUCUCACAUACCCGGUUCUCUCUCUCUCUCAUACGCAAACACUUCUCUAGAGAGAGAGAGAGAGGGUCACACACACCCCCACCCACCUCUCUCUCUACCUGACACACACUUCUCUCUAUGGAGAAGAGAGAGAACUCUCACAUACCCGGUUCUCUCUCUCUCUCCCUCCCCCCCAUACACACACACUUCUGUAGAGAAAGAGAGGCUCACACACGCACCCACCCACCUCUCUCUCUACCUGACACACACUUCUCUCUAUGGAGAAGAGAGAGAACUCUCACAUACCCGGUUCUCUCUCUCUCUCCCUCCCCCCCAUACACACACACUUCUGUAGAGAAAGAGAGGCUCACACACGCACCCACCCACCUCUCUCUCCCUCACACACACGCACACACACUCUUCUCUAGACAGAUAUCGAGAGAGAGAGAGAGGGAGAGAGAGAGAGGUGGGUGUGAGAUCUCUCUCUCUCUCUCUCUCUCUCUCUCUCUCUCUCUCUCUCUCUCUCUCUCUCUCUCUCUCUCUCUCUCUCUCUCUCUCUCUCUCUCUCUCUCUCUCUCUCUCUCUCUCUCUCUCUCUCUCUCUCUCUCUCUCUCUCUCUCUCUCAUACACACACACACUUCUCUAGACAGAUAUCGAGAGAGAGAGAGAGAGAGAGAGAGAUCUCACACACAUACCCCCACCUCUCUCUCUCUCCCUCACACACACACACACACACACAUUCUCUCUCUCGGAGAUUAAGUUGGUUGAUUUCUAAAUAGACACAAAAUUGACUCAUGCCCUAUCCUUUAUUCAAAAGAGAAGAACACUGCUACGCUUAAUUAUCUCAAGUUCCUUUAGAUAUGGAAACGGCAUAAUCAGUUAAUUAGCUAGUGCUUUUUUGGUAAACUUUUUAAAUAUUAAUUAGUCUUAUUCAACCACCGCGGUUUCUUACCUCAUCGAUAUAAUUGAGGGAAAGCCUUCUAGGGCACGCACAAUCUAAAAAUGUUACUUAUUCUCAAUUAAUCAUUAAUUAAUUAGAAGCUACUUUGUCAACACAAAUGCAUUGUCAUCAAACACAAAUAAUAAGAAAGCAAAGGACAAGUACUGUAAUCAAUAUUCAGUAAUAUUAAUUACUGCAAAAGACAAUGUAGUCAAGUUACAGAAUCCUGCAAACGACUUAGAAAUUACCACAUUUAUUUUUUCACCUAUAAAUUUGUAUAGAGCCCCACCACAAACAGGAUUACAAGACACUAACUAUACAACAACAAAGCCAAUGUCCUCCUAAAACCUUUCGGAAAACAAAGCCAGUAUUGAUCGAUCGCCUAUUAUAUGUGGAGACAGAUAAAAUAGACCAAAACAACAUUAACGAUGACAACAACAACAACAUAUCUAGCAAUCUUUCAGAAAAACUCUCUCUGAGAUCCCCCGUAGACAACAUUUUGGAAGUAAAUAAUCACAGUAAUUAUGUGUAGCUCGAAACCGAGAUUAUCACUUCCAUUCAUUUGGUUAUGUAUGAUGGAAGUGAUAAAUUGAAGUUUUGAUAGAAGUCCACUUCUAUCUGAAAAUUCAAUUUUUAUGUUAUGUCGACUUACCCCCAACGAAACGUUCCCUUGGCUAAGAUAGCACGAUGAAGAGCAUCACCGCCCCGGCCAGGAUCAUAACUAGCUGCAGCAACAAACUAACAGAGUAAAAUAUUUCAACGAUCGAAGCCCACAUUUCACCGUGCGGCGGUUCAAACAUGAGGCCUAUCCAGAUCAGGCCGGAUUCGAUGGCCAAUAGCUGGAAGAAUGCGCACACCUUUAGCCCUAAACUCAUGUAAUAUUGCUGUGGUGCAAUCCCCACACUCUCCACGCAUAUGAAUGCUAGUAGGCCACCAUUGACUGAGAUCAGCAUUGCAAUGCCGUUCCUCAUCACACCCGCAUAGCGUGGGUCAUGGUAUAAGGGUCGAGCACUAGUUGGAUUUCUCAGGCCGAUACCCAGAUACUCCUGGAUGAAGUAUACGAAGAUAGGGAUGAGCGCCAGCGAGAACACGCCCACGACUAAGGUUUCCAAGAACUGCAUGGCGAGCGCAGCGGCUGAUAGCCCGAGGAGGACCAAAAUAGCAGUGCUGCUGUAUCUCACAAAGCUUGAAAGGCUCCCUCUCCAAAAGGAGUAAUGAGCAGUUAAGGGGAUGGAGGUAACCAUCAUAACAAAGAUGCCAACCAUGGUGAUCAGGAAGAAGAGACUCAGCGCAAGUUGGAAACUUUGCAAUGCUUGGAGGGGAGGGCUUUUGAAGGAAGCAUAAAUCAUACCCGUUUGUACUGUGAUGGCCAUAGUUGCCAUAGCAGUAGCGAACUUGAAGGCCUUCUUUUGCUCCGGUUUGUAGCUGUUGAUCGAAGAUGCACAACAUGCAUGUUAAUUGAAAAUGUUGUUAAGCCUAGGCUUUUAGAGGCAGCUCCCAUCACCCCUCAAAAAUGAUAUAAAUAUUAGAUUAGCUGAUUCCGUUAUCUAUUAGUAAGUUUACCGAUGAAAAAAUGACCUAAGCUCAUGUAUAUAUGUUUCAAAUUAAAGAGAAAAUUACAGCUUACUUUUUACAUGAACAUGUAGUUCUUCAACUUUUCAAAGCAAAACUUAUUUCCAGCAUUCGAUACUUUUUUAACAAAUAGAAUUAGAGAAACAUGUUAAUGCCAAGUUUUUUUGUCAAAAAAAACACUAAAUUUAGUACCCGAGUCUUCUCUCUGAAUAAACUUGACACGCAAUAACAGCACAAGCUAAUAUAUAAUUUGAUACAUUUAUAAGAAGUUCAUGAGAUGCUAAUUCAGUUCACCUGAGAAGAUCAUUAAGCUAAUAGUACUAUCGAAAUGUAUAAAAACACAUAAUAUAUAUACCUUUCAUGGUUGGCACUGUCGUGGUCGUUAACAUUUUGUGUAGCCCUAUAUCCAAGGAAGCAUAUGAUAGCUAUCACAGGAAUUACAAUAAGACUCAUCCCUGCACUGUCCUUGCUCAGGAGUACUAUGGAGAAAAAGCUUGUCACAAUUAAAAGUACACAAGAUGUGGUAAUCCCGCCUAUGAGAUAUAUCUUCUGGUUUCGGUUGAUUCGAUUAUAAUGCCCAAAGAGAAAAAAUGCGUACAGCAACAACAAGAUGGGGGAUUGAAGAGUGGCCCAGAUGAGGAAAUUGUAGGCUUUGAUAACUGUGGAGGAAUGCAUGGCUCUUAUAUCUUUGGUUCCGUUCAAAAAUGCUAAGAGUAUUACAAAAGCCAUGGUUAUUUUCACACCCGAGAAAGCUAUGAUUCGCUUCAACUGGUCCCUAACUACUUUAAUUUUCUGUUCAUUUUCUCCUUCAUUGUCUUCUCCCUGUUGGUUUAUCUGCAGUUACGUCAAACAAGUAGUAAGUGUUUUGUAUAUACAUACAUAUAUAUGUAUGAUUAAUUGAUAUGCAAAUUAGAGGCCACUGGAAAUUAGCAAACAUAUUUAGAAGAUAGAGAUUGAAAGAGAGCUUCAUUAUAUAUUUAUAGAUUAGGCACCAUGAGAUAAUUCAUUAACCAAAAAAUUUACUAUUGGUAGGCUUAAAAGUUUUAUCACGAAAAUAAAGAUGAUGAUUUGAGAAAUAUAAAACUUAUAGAUGCAUCACAGGCUUAUUUUUACUACAAGACUCAAAGAUCAUCAUAUCACAAGCUUGUAAACCCACAUCCAUAUGGCUGUAAUUGAGAUGAAAAAUAAACAUUAACCCACCAGUGUAGUUAGCUUAGUUUUUGAUUGGUCUUGUCUCAUGAAAAAAGUUUUGGAUAUACUUAGCCACUAUGGCAGGGUAUAUAGUUUUAAGUAAUACCGCCAAAUGGUACCAUAAUAACCCAUACGAAUGGUGAAUUACGAAUUCAUAAUUAAUAUUAUUUGAACCUGCAGUGAUGAUGCUUAGGAAACAGUAAAUCUUAUCCUGAUAUAUUAAACAGGCCACAUAAUUUGGAAAAUCUUUUGGUCAAAAUCCAUUGGAUCUGAUUAUGGUGAAUUCGGUAUCGGAUGUGGCCAUAAGAGAGAACGAGAAAUUAAUCAGAUGAAAUACUAAAGAAAAGAGAAGAAGCACGUGUGAUGUGAGCUCGAGAAGAUCUUUAGUGAAGGGUUUAAUAAGCUAAAAACAAUACACAUAAGAGAGAGAGAGAGAGAGAGAGAGAGAGAGAGAGAGAGAGAGAGAUGCGCACGAAGAUAUAUAGCGACCUAAAACCCUACCUUUUCAAAAAAAAAAAAGAAAAAAAGAUAACAUAACUUGAUUUUGGAAAGAUUUUUUUUUCCAUUCUUUUGAUUGUAUUAACCUCAUAAAAGAAAAUGAUAAACAACUCAUGGAUGUGGAGCUGUUAUAAAUUCAUGUUUGGAAAGAAGAAAAGAAAAGAAAUAGCUGAUAAAAGAGAAAUAUCAGAUCUACAAUCAAACAAAGAAGCAGCAAGUGAGAGAUAAAGAGAGAGAGAGAGAGAGAGAUGCGCCACAAAAUAUAUAUAGCCAAUUAAAAUAAACCCUUUUGAAAAAAUUGAAAAAAACACCUAUAUUGCAGAUUUAUAUAUCAUCUGUGACCAUAACUUGAUUUUGGAAUGAUUUUUUUCUCUUUUUCUUUUGAGUGCAUAAACCUCACAAAAGAAAACAAAGAACAAUCAUCUGAUUUGGAGCUUUUAUAAGUUCAAAAAGAAAAAACCCCUAAAAACUUGCAAGCAAACAAAUAGCUGAUAAAAGGGAAAUAUGAUGAAACUUUUGAUGAAAUGAAAGAAAUCAUCUGAUGUGGAGCUUUUAUAAGUUCAAAAAAAAAAAAAAAAAAACCCCUAAAAACCUGCAAGCAAACAAAUUGCUGAUAAAAGAGAAAUAUGAUGAAACUUUUGAUGAAAUGAAACAAAUCAUCUGAUGUGGAGCUUUUAUAAGUUCAAAAAAAAAAAAAAACCCUAAAAACCUGCAAGCAAACAAAUAGUUGAUAAAAGAGAAAUAUGAUGAAACUUUUGAUGAAAUGAAACAAAUCAUCUGAUGUACGCUUUUAUAAGUUCAAAAAAGAAAAAAAAACUCCUAAAAACCUGGAAGCAAACAAAUAGCUGAUAAAAGAGAAAUAUGAUGAAACUUUUGAUGAAAUGAAACAGCAGCUGCAGGAGCAGAAGAACAAGACCUGCAGAGUAACUGAAUGAGAUUCCCGAGACAUUUGGUGAAAUGAAGGAGGCUCGCAAAGUAAAGGAAAAAGCUCCUCUUCCUCUUCUUCUUCUUCUUCUUCUUCCUCCUCUUCUUCUUCUUCUUCUUCUUCUUCUUCUUCUUCUUCUGCUAUUAAUUUAUAUGGUCAUUGUACCAAUUGCCCAUGGUGAGUGGUGGUGGUGGUGCGGGGGGGCGGGGGAGGGGGAAAUUAUGUGCGGCACAUUCGCAUGCGACGAAGAAGCUACCGCCGUCGGAUUGCUCCCACACGAAUCUCAAAGCACAGCGUGGGGCACGGAACGUGCCUCCCAUGGAUGCCUUCGCAAUUAAAUCUUUUCCUUCCCCUGUUGGUGGGUCCUCUAGCCAAUAGUCGGUGCGGAAAUUAAACCCCUUCUUUUGACCAUUAAUGUAUAUAUAUAAAAGAAUUAUGCUUUCGUAUAUCAACUUUUUAAUGUAUAUAUAUAUAUGUUACAAUUUACAGCUCAAAUUAAAACUAACUUCUCCAAAGUUCUUUCCCUUAUUACUUUUUAUUAAUCCAACAGGAAUUAAUAAUCUAAACACUAGAAGGGAAGUGUCGUAAUUAAAACAGACAUGCCAUUUUUCUCUAUAUAAAAUAAAACAAAAAUUUGAACACAAUUGAGCAUUGUUACGUCCAUAACCCACAGUGGAUUGUUAACCUACAAACAUCCAAUUCAAAGCCCACUUUUGCUCUAUAGGUCUCAACACUCUUAAUUUUAUUUUAUUUUUUUUAACUAAAAAGCAAAUUAAGGGAUUAGUAAACUCUAGAACCCUUGAAUAAAGAACUGCAGAUAUUACAACAUCUUUUUGAUUGUAGACUUAGCAUAUUAAUUUCUUAACAAUAAGAGCAUCUCACACCUCUCUCUCUCUCUCUCUCUCUCUCUCUCUUCUUCCCCUUGANUUUUAUUUUAUUUUUUUUAACUAAAAAGCAAAUUAAGGGAUUAGUAAACUCUAGAACCCUUGAAUAAAGAACUGCAGAUAUUACAACAUCUUUUUGAUUGUAGACUUAGCAUAUUAAUUUCUUAACAAUAAGAGCAUCUCACACCUCUCUCUCUCUCUCUCUCUCUCUCUCUCUCUCUCUCUCUCUCUCUCCCCCCCCUUGUUGCCCCUACAUAUUUUAGUUUGUUGACUCAUUCCGCAAAUCAUGUGAGAAACCCUAAUACGUUCUACUACAAGAUAAGGAUAAAUGUUUGUCUUGAAGUUAAUGUGUUGGUUUUAAAUAAAUUUGACUCAAAUUCGGUAACGAAUUAUAUAUUUUGAAAGAAAAUUAUUUUUCCAAACUACAAAUAGAAUAAAUAACAUCACAUAUUUGGAUAUUUUAGAAAGGAAAAUGCUUGGAUCCUCCAUAAUGUUGUACUUAUAUAUUACUAAUAUAUUAGCAAGUAUAAUAUAAUUUACAGAGAGAAAAACAUAAUAUAAAAAUUUUAAUUUGUUCAUACAUACUCUCAAAAUUUAUAUAAAUUUGUCAAUAAUAUAUAAGAACAAUUAAUAUUGUUUAUAGCAUAUAUACUAUUGCACUAGUCUUUUUAAAAUUUUCUUUUACGUACAUAUAUAGGUUGCAAAAGAUUGGCAUACAUUUUGCACGUAAUCGUGAGAUCAUUAAUAUAAUACACGGCUAUGAUUUCAUUUUUCUCCAGCUGAAGAAUAUGUGUACAACCUACACAUAAUAUGCAUGCAUCAAAAUUAUGUUAAUACAAAAGAAGAUUGGGAUUAAGCAAUAUGCUAGGUUUUCAACCCAUUUUAGGUUGCAAUUCUAUAUCUACUAUAAUCCCGAAGUCACUUUUUCUUUACAAGUCUUAUCAUUUUUCUUUUAAACUAAAAACCAAGAAAAGAAUAGUAAACCCUACAAUUCUCGGAUGGGGUUUUAUAGAGAUUAAAGACACAAAAGUUGAAGAAUCUAUAUGUAGAAUAAUAUCAUGGUUGAACAUACAUGGGUUCUGUCAUCUGUGAGGCACCUACUGUGUGCAAAUGUGAACAUGGACCCCCCACCCACACAUAAGAACAAGAUGAGGUGAGAGACUUUCACUGUGCGUUCCAACAUGGCUCUGAUUUUGUUUUCUCUCCUUUUCUUCUGCUUAAAAAUAACAAGAAAAGAUGGAACUUCAACAUCAAUCUCCACCUCCUCUUUUUUUUCUUUUCUUUUUUCCUCUGAGAGACUCUCCAUCAAUAUUGUUUUGAAAAACCAAAAAAGUCAAAGUCAUAGCUUUAAGAUUCGAGCCCAGGUCCAUUACUAGGUCGCUAGGUUGAAAAGCCAAAGCGCAUAAUUUUGAGUGAGUCCACGUACGGGCGUCACACAUGCAUCAUCCAUUUGAGUGUCCCUUCUAAGUAGGCGUCGUUGAAAAGCCAAAGUACAUAUUGAAACAAAAAGAAAUAAUUAGCUUGCUCGUGAGAGAUGUGGCAUCAUCUUCUACAUGCUUUGAAUUCCGAUCGAGUCGUAUUUGGUUUCAAGAAAAAGAAAUAAACCCGACUGGACUAGUGCUAUAAACAAUAUAUAUAUAUAUAUAUAUAUAUAUAUAGAGAGAGAGAGAGAGAGAGAGAGAGAGAGAGAGAGAGAGAGAGAAUCUUAUAAGCUACACAAAUUAAAAGAUUUUAAUUUAAUUUUUUUUUUUCCUUCCAAAAGUUUUAACUUCAAGUAUUUAAAGUUAUUUGCAAAAAUAAAAAAAAAAUCACGAAUUUUGAACACUUGCUUCUAUAGAUUAUUUUGUUUUGUUUUGUUUUCCUAAAGAAACCAGAUGCUUUGACAAAGAUAAAUAUAGGCUUCAAGAAAGCUAAGGUUGCUGAGAAGCUGGUUCAUUCACUAUGACCCAUCUUUAUCUUUGUUUUCUUCACAAGCCAAAAUAAUUCAACGCAAAAUCAGGCCCACUAAAGCUUUCAAAAUGGUCUUGUAUGACUAUGAAUUAGGUUUUACAUAUCUAAUCUUUCAUGCCUUUACAUAAGGAUAUAUUUGGGAAGUUUUUAAUUUGCUCUAGGUUACGAUUCGGUACUUAUAAUUAACGACAUCUUACUGUUUUUGGUUGAAUAAAUUAAGCUCUUCUUCGAUCGAUCAUAACCCUUAUAGAAGGGAAAAAAAAAAAAAUCCAAAUAGGAUCUUGGACACGAGAAAAUCUACAUUGUAACACUUACAUCACAUCAUCUAUUCUCAGCCAAUUACAUCACUUUUUUAAAAAGUAAAGUAUAAUAAAAAUAUUUUUUUAAUAAUUAUGAUGGAAUAGAUGAAUUUAAGAAAAAAAAUCUGAUUAAUUAAAAAUAUUAUAUCAGAAACAUCACUGGUAUAUUUUAAAAUUUUUUCCUUGGCCACACCAUACACGGAAGUACAAGGACGUGUAGGGCAAGAAAAUCAAGCAGGUAGAUGCUGCAGGGGUUGUUGGAUCUCUCGCUUUCGCGACUAAGUUACAUGUGGCAUGCAGCAUGGGAGGGGCCCAUUCUUUUGUCAAACUCCACCACUUGUAUUAAUUCCAUGAUGAAAUAGACUUCUUCUUUUUUUUUUUUUCUUUUUUUUUUGUGCCAAACUCCACCACUCGCAUAUUGAAAUAGAGAGCAGUACAUUAUUCAAGAAUAAUUUAGAGAAUGUUUUAGUAUGAUUUUAUGUAAGAAGUUCAAUAUUUUGCUUCUUUAAAAAUUUUACUGUCUAUGAUUUAUUAGGAUAGUAUAUUUUAUCUUUGAGGUGAUUUAUUUUAUUAUGAAAAAAUGACUUAAAAUCUAAACAUCAAUUUUCUUCUAAAUAUUUGAUCAUAAUCCUUAUUAGUCGAAAGAUAGUCAAGCGGGCCGUUAGUUUCAGUAAUUUAAUUGCAUGUUGGAACAACUUAUUCGGCACAAAGUUUUUCUUGUGUGCUAAAUUUAUUUUUACUUCUUGAUUGGAAUUUUCAUCCAUAAUAUAUAUAUAUUUUUUUUGAGAAAUAGGUAGCACACUAUCCGCUUCGUUUAUUUCAUUUAGAAAUAAACUUAGCUAGAAAUGUGAACCAACUAGGAUUCGAACUUGGAUCUCGGGUACCAACUACCAAGCCCUUUGCCACUUGCUCUAGGGGCAGUCGGUAUUUUCAUCCAUAAUUUGAUUAGAUAACAUAUUUCACUUGCAAAAUGAUUUAUUUUAUUCCGAAAAAUUGAUUAGAAAGUUGUAGUGAGUAUACAUUAAUUUCAUUGUCUUAUUUUAGGGUUUAAUCACAUUAUAUAUUGCCUUAUAUAUAAGGUCUUAUAUUUUAGGGAUUAGAAAGUUGUAGUGAUUCACUAUAUAUAUUGUCUUAUUUUAGAUGUUUAAUCACAUUUCUUAUCACCAAAUGCUACGAUUUCUUGAGAAAAUUAAAAUUACAUCCAGAAUAAGAACUUGGUGAUCGGUACCCGAGGUUCCAAGUUCGAAUCCUAAUUAAUUCACAUUUCCAGCUAAGUUUAUUUCUUAAUGAAAUAAACGAAGCAGGUAGCGUGCUAUCUAUCUCUCUCUCUCAAAAAAAAAAAAAGACCUUAAUCAAAUCACUAAUUAAUUUGCAGUGAGUAUAUAUAUAUACAUUAGUUUUAUAUAAUGUCAUCCUAACGAAGAAGAAUCCUAAUAACAACCGGAUAAUUAAGACAAAUUAAGACUCAACUUGUGAAUAAAAGAUACCGGCUAUGGGCGCACAAUAACCUGUAAGAUAAAAAUAAGAAACAAACUCUUUUAACUUAUAUCAUGCACCUAAUAAUUUUUUGACCCUAUCAAUAUCUUUUAGAUAAUUAACCAAGUGGCAAAGUACUGAAUGGUUCGUAUCAUAUUUCUAAUUACUUCAUAUUUUAAUUAAAAUUAUUUUUUUAAAAAAAUGAAUAAAAUAAUAGUAUGCUAUCAUUCUAGAAACCAUGCACGAAUCAGAUUCCGGCUCGAAUCUCUGAGCCCAUUGAGGUGUCAAUUAGAAAUUUUGGUUUACUUAAUUACCGUAUAGUAGUUUACUAACUCUACGCGGAGAGUGUGGGGACGUCGCACAUUAACAUACAAGACCAAAGAAAAUUUUUUAAAAAUGAAAAUAAUAAUAAUAAAAAAAAAAACAAUUGAAAGAUAUAGAGUAUGUGUCUCCCUCAGCGUCACGCGUAUACAAAUAUAGAGCUUUAAUUCUUUUUAUUUAUUUAUUAAGUGGUAUCUUAAUUAAAUUUUUACUAUUUUAACAGUCGAUCGAAUGAAGUUGUUAGUUUAACAAUUAAAUAUAAUAUUAAUAAAUUGAUAUUUUGUUAGACGCUGUGAUGCAAUUGAUCAAUAAUUAAUUACUAGCUUGUUUUCGUUAGGCCUUAUUUAUUCAACCUUAAAUUAUUAAAAAAAAAAAAACUUUGGGCUCUAUAUUCCACCCAAUUUUGUAACUAUAUAACCACAAUUGGGCCGUAGGCCAUAGUUCCAAAUGGGCUCGAUUAUACACGACCCUAACUUGAAAUUAAGCCCAACCAUAUGUUACUAACUUGAAAUGAGUCAAAAAGAGGUGUACAUCCUACACCUUGUCCGUUGGAUGGUGUACAAGUAGUAUUUUUCUACUCUAGUAACUAACGUCCUUGACGCGUUUAGCAUCUUUUGCUAUCCUAUUCAUGGAAAAGUUCCUCCAACCUAAUCUCCGGAUUUUGCUUUUUAAGUCCAAGUGAUCCCAAUUAGAUGCUACAAUUUUCACCAAUCAUCUCAAGGCCUUACUCUCUUAGAUCUCUCUCUCUCUCUCUCUCUCAUGUGUUGCCUUAAAACUUUUAUGCUAAUCUUUUCCCCAACUCCGAAAAAAGCUACUUAAUUAAUGUGACUCCAAAUUAAGAUGCAUCCAAUUCUCAAACGUCAGCAUAAACAGGAGAAGCACCAGCAACCAAACAAAAACCCACCAUUCCUUAAUUUGUCUCCACCUGCUUCUCAUUGUUCUCUUCCUCCCUUGUAUUUAUCUAUGGUUACAAUCCCAGGACCACACUCUCCCUUAAUACCUCUCCUUUUAUUUUAAGCACUAAAAAACAAACAAAGCAUCUAUAAUAAUCUAUAAUUAAAGAGGAUAAUAUAUAUUCAAUAAUGACAAAAAACCAAAACAAUUUGUGUUGAGAGUGGGAUUUGAACCCACGCCCUUUCGGACCAGAACCUUAAUCUGGCGCCUUAGACCAACUCGGCCAUCUCAACUUAUCUAUAUCAUUUCUUCGUACAUUUCUAAUAAUCUAUUUAUCAUACUCUAGUAAAUAGAAAUUCCCCAUGGAUAAGAAUCAAGUUGGGCGUGUUUGGUUCGCUUCUUUUUUACUCUGGAAUCGGAAUCGGAAUGGAUGAAUCCGUUUGUGGGUGUUUGGUACGCGGGAGUCCCAUUCCGAUUCCAAUUCCCGAGUGGAAUGGGAAUCUCCCAAUCACCCCUUUUUUCAAUCCGGCCUGGAGGCCGNCAGGUCUAAUUAGAGUAUACCGAAACAUUCGUCGUUUACAAUUAUAAGGAUACAUCAACGUGGUAUGUUUAUAGAAUCUAAAGAUGAACGAUUGACAUUCUUUUCUUUAAAGUAUAGUUUGCGUAGUGAUGAACCAGUAGCGAUAACGAUACUAAUAAAGUACAGCCAAGAGUAUAACUCAAAUCUUAAGAACAAAGGUAUCAACGCUCGUCAAAACUAGAAACUUCGGAUGCUCCCUACAUCCGAUAAUUGUCACCCCUCGGCGAGUGAAUAAAGGAGGAGAAGAAAAUACGCACUGUUUGGUUCUAAUUAUUUAGUUCGUAAAGUGUUCUCAUCUGGUAAAUUAAUGUAAUCCGAGAAGUCAUACCACUCUUCCUUUAACUCCGUGGAAUCAUAGGUUUUCUCUACUAAAUCAUAAUGUAAACAAAGAAGACUAUACAAUGAUACUUAAAAAAUACAGUGUGUAAAACAUUACAUGAUACAAAAAUUACGUAACGUUAAGAAUAAAACAGGAACUAUAAAUACGUCUUCGUCGCACUCUUAUGUAUGCUUCGAAGCUCCUUCGGCUAAAAUGGUGGUCUAAAACACCUCUUCGUCUCUCGCAUAAAGCGUCUCUAGCUAAGUAAGCUUGACGGCCUCCUCCUCCAGAGCCUCUCACUCGACCUAAUCGGCGCACUUUACUGCUGACACGUGAAGAUAUUGUACGAUCACGCCAUCCUUGAUUAGAAACAUGUCGUGUACAUAGUUUCCAUUGACCCCUAAAACCGGUACUUCCGACAACAUACGCAUGGGGUAACAUUUUAACGGUACAUUGGGAGUUGUAAAAACCUACAUAGGAGGUAGUUAAAGUAAGAUUAGGCACCCCUUAAAGAUAACUAAAUGAAAGGCAAGUCUCCUUAAAGUGACGCACCUCUUUUUAUCUAAUAGUACUUACAUGAACUGGUCCUAUAUCAACUAAGCUGACAUUUACCUCCUACAAAUCACUGAUACAAAUUAAAGCAAAUUUCUUGGUGCAAAUUGCUCUAAGGACAUGGAGGCAACAGAAUAUUCCACAAGCAACAUAAUAUUCUUGUAGAUGAUAGAAUAUUCUGUCGAGUCUAAUAUACUGUAAUAUUAGGCAUUACGGUCAAAAUUGUUGAAACUAAUGUUUCGAUUGUAAAAUACGUAAAGGCUCUGCAUUUUUAACUUAAUACUUCGCAUCCCAGGCUCAUGUAUAACAUAAAAUUAUUGUAUUAUAUUUUGUAGGAUGAUGCAGGGAGGCCGGGGCAACUCCCACGUGCAGCUGGAGCUCCUACCGCCGCCCGCCCGUGAUGUUUCCUUGGUUCCAUGCUUGAUACUGCUACAAGAUCAGUUGCUUUGUCUUUCAACUCCUUCCUGAAUCUUAAAAUUGUUUCGUGAGGGUCAAUUUUGUUCAGAGUUUCAUGUGACAAAAAUUGUGUUACGUACCUGACUCGGCGUAACCCCCAUCGAUGAUGAGAUCUCGCUGAGAUGAGGACGGCGUCGAGGAUGAUGGUCUUUGAUCCGACCCAGAGUAUUGCAGUACCAGGUAAGGAAAAGAGUAAGCUAAGAUGUGGAAGAACUUAAGAGGGAAGAGUUUGAGAAGGAGAAGAAUAAGAGUAGAUAAAAGAGGAGAAUAGAGAAGGAGGAGGAGAUUAAGUCGAGAAGAAAAUCAAUAUCAAUAUCAUUCAUAAUUCCUUCUAGGUUACAUCUGCCUCUUUUAUUAUCUCGUACAUCAUACUAAAAUGAAAAAAAUAUCAACUCCUAGGUAAUAAACUGAAAUUAAGAAAAAAUCAAGAGUGUGGGCCAGUUGGCCUUAAUUUGUAAGGCCGAUGCACUAUGUCGUCAAAACCUGUUUUAUUGCGUUCAUGAUUCUUGAAGAUCUUGUUGGAUAUUUACCGGCUUUCUAAUAUGAUUUCGUCAUCCAUGUAGGAAUGGCUUGUAGAUUGCUGCGGGUGAAAUUUUGGUUAUGGAUGUUGAAACUAGUGAUCAUCUGUCCUUGUGUUUGAUGAUUCUUUGUUAGUUGUAUGAGAAGAUUGUAUUUUGAUCUCACUUGGUGCAUGCUUUUAAAGAGAUCAAGCUUCGUGUGACGCAAGAAAUUUACCAUCAAGGUAACCAGAGCAAACAUAAAAAAUAAAAAUCAUACUUAUCCACAAAUUAAAUAUUCAAGUAAGAAGAAGAUACUUAUACGGAGAGAGAUUGAAGUAUGAGACAUUACUAAUGCAUGAGAUGCAGUGUGAAAAGCAUCUCAAAUUGAAAGCAUCGGUUUAUUUUUAAUUCUGACUUCGUUGAACCGUUCUUUGUCCGGAUUGAAAUAAAAUAAAACCAUAUGGAAACACAAUAUUUAUACAACAACGUGUACGUCAGUAUGUGCAAUUCAACACCAAUAGGGAAAUUAAUUAAGCAUGAAUUAAUUGUUGUUAAUUGCCGUGCUGAUCCAAAACCAUUUUAUCUAUUUCUAUUCAACCCCCAGGAAUCUUUCAACCUGCACCAUAAACGUACAAAAAUAUAUAUUAUGUAUAUUCAUAUGGGCAUGCAUGUUAGCUUAGCUAAUAUCUCCAAAGACGAAGACAAAAAAUAUAUAGGCCCUUCGAUUGAUAAGUAAUUAUUAAACUAAAUUUCUCUAUAUAUGUUGGCACCGAGUCUUUGAUGCAUGCGCUUCAUUGCUUUAAUCUCUCAACACUCCUUCACAUUGCUAUUUCCUGUUGCCUUCUUUCUUUCUUCCUCCGCCCUUCGGUAUGUAUACAAUGGUUUAUUUUUCCUCGAAACAACUUAAUUAUUUUGAGAUUAUUUUUUCUGUUUUCGGGACAGGGUAUUCAAUUAAGUGCAUUUAGUUGCAUGCGCGCAUAAGCUAGCAUAUUUUUGUUUAAUUCAUUUGCCAUACAUAAAUAUGCUUUACUCUUGAGUUUAAUGGGAACUUGCAUACAUACGUAUACCAAUGAAUGAAUAGUACAUGCAUGCAUGGCAUGUUCCUUUUCUCAAAUGUCAAGUAAUUAAAUGCGUAUAAGGGUGAAAACAAUAAAAAUGUUCGGUUUAUGAUCAAUUGUUCGUAGAAAAUAAAAGAUUC
rnacentral:lncRNA from 1 species